AGUCUGACUUUCGGACGUGAUGCGAAAGGGAGAAUGUGUCAGUUCUCGCCAGGUCUGAAUUUAUGAUGUUAUUCUUCAUGAUUAAAAGGCAAGAGUAGAUAAGGACUGCCUUGUGUCUGGACUGAUUUAUUCCACACGUGCUGCACUCUGCUUCUCACCGCUGUGUUUCGCUCUGCUACCGGCAAGAGAAAGAGGCCUGAGGAGGAUUUUUGCAGGAGGCACGGAUAGCUUGCAGAGUUCCGCAACGGAAGCGUGCCGGGCUCCAUGUUCAGUCUCUGUGUACCCUCUUGUCCGGUGUAAAUAAUUCCAACAGGUUAUGGGAGCUCGCCAAAGCUUUGAAGCAUUGCAGGAACGUCCCACGUGUGGGGGAAGCCAGCAGGAAAGUUGCUGGGGUCCAGCUGGAGCUCUGGAGCUGUGUCUUUGAAGCUGGAAGGAGCUCGCUGGGGAGAAGCGAUCUGCCGGAGCCGGGAGGCGGAGAAAGCUACUGCCGGGAGACGUGAGUAAGCUUAGCCCCCGGGGAGGAGAUGGCAGACGAUCGUGAAUCAUUCUCAGUUCCCUUUGAGAAAUUAAAUGGACAAAAUUGGGCCGAAUGGAGCCGGAAGCUAAAGGCCUGGCUGGUAGCCAAGGGGUUGUGGGAGGCGACCCAGGGGCCCCCUCUCCCACCACCUGCAGCAGGAGCAGCAGCAGCGGACAUAGCGGCUGCUCACGCGUCGCAGAGGAAAAAACCAGAAAGCCCUGGGAGCUAUAGUGCUCAGUUUGGAGGGUUCCCAACUUCCUCUGGUUGAAGGGCUUGAGACUGCUCAGGAGGCCUACCAAGCCCUUGAGAGGGUGCACCACAGAACCACGGCUGGUGCAAAGAUCCACACCACCAGACGCUUAUUUGAGAUGAGGCUGCGUCCCGGUGGGAACAUCAGACAGCAUGUUACUGAGAUGCUUUCUGUUUUCAAUGAGUUGCGCCUGUUACAGGUCAACUUUUCAGAAGAGCUGAAGGUUUAUAUUUUGCUCAGCUCUCUGGACAAAAGUUAUGACAAUUUGUGUCUGUCUAUGGAAUCGAUGAGUCCACAGGAUUUGACGCUAUCGUACGUGACAGGGCGUCUUUCGGACGAACAGGAGAGGCGUGUCCGAGAAGGCAGGUCUGGCGCAGGCAGCUCCACCGGUUGCAGAGGUGGGGGGCAAGCCAGAUGAGAGCUGUGUUCAGGCUUUUUCCACUCGUCGAUGUUAUGUCUGUGGAUCCAACAGCCAUCUAAAACGGGCUUGUCCGCAGAAGAGCAGAGAGGCCGGGCAGGAUGUCUCCAAGGUCAACCAGCUGAGUUCUCAUGGGAACCAGUCUCGGAGAGGAGGCCAGCGUGGGAACGCGAAGGAGGGACGUGACUCAGAGAAGGGAGACUGUUAUCAUCUCGCGGCUUCUCUGGCAACUUUGAACAACAAUGCCAGCAGGGACACAACUAUGAAGUGGGUGCUGGACUCAGGAGCGAGUCAUCACCUGAUAACGCCAUCUGCUGGGGAGCUGCAGAAUUGCAGGGCUGUUUUAACUGGAAUGACUUGUAAAUUUGCUGACGGGAAAAAACGAAAUGUAUCUAAAGUGGCAAAUGUCUAUAAUUCUGUUUUGCAGGCUGAGCUGGAGUGCUUCAUUGUACCAGGGAUGAAGUGUUGCCUGUUAUCGGUUUCUGCUCUGGCGAAGCAGGGAUACAAAAUUUGUUUUGAAAAUAACACCUGUUCCAUUUUCAGAGGGGGAGGCAACUUGUCAACGUGGAGAGCAAGGACAAUCUCUUUGUUCUGGAAACACCUCUGGAGGGUGGUGGGAAUGCAGGGAAAGCACAGGCGCAGUGUGCUAGUGUUCCCAGCCAUGAUUCAUGUGUUCAUGUAUGGCACAAGAGAAUGUCUCAUGCUUGUCUGGAGGAUGUUAAGAGGCUGCCAGGCUGCACCGAAGGAUGUAAAAUCACACCAUGUGAGGGAUCCCUAGUGUGCAGGGCAUGCAGCAAGGUUCAAAGGUGCAGGGUUCCCCGGGUAAAGAGGGUAACCACAAAACCUUUUGAGUUGAUUCACACAGAUCUGUCAGGACCCAUGAGGUGUGAGAGUCUGGGUGGGGCCAAGUAUGUGCUAUCGCUGACAGAUGACCACAGCCAGGUUGGCUGGUGUUUCUCUCUCAAAUCACAGGGGGAGGCGGCGCAACUGAUCCAGGAUUGGGUUGCGGAGGUGGAACGAAGGUUUUCCACCAGGGUGCAAGGGUUCAAGAGCGACCGAGGGUCACAGUUUACUGGGUCUGCUCUGGAGGAGUUUUUCAAGGAAAAAGGAAUACGUCACCACGUGACGGGUGCAAAGUCUCCUCAAGGGAGAGGCGUGGCACAGCACAGGAGUGAAACACUGGCUGAAGCUGUCAGAGUUUUGCUGGGUGACUCUGGGCUGCCUCAGAGCUUUUGGAGUGAAGCUUGGAAAGCUGCCAACUUUGUUUUUAACAGGUCCUACAAUCACGAUGUAGGUGACACACCGUAUUUUCUGUUGCACAAGAGGAAGCCACAGGUGCAUUUCUUCCGUUCGUUUGGUUCCAAGGCUUCAGUGCCAAUACCAACAGCGCAACGGAAGAAGGAUGGUCCUAGGUACCAGGACAUGAUCUUCUGUGGGUAUGAUCCUGCAACAAAUGGGUGGAAGUUUGCAUACCCAGAGGGUGAUCAGACCACGCUGCUGGUCAGCAAGCAUGCUGAGUUCUUUGAGCAGGAUGGUUGGUCACAGCCUAGGUAUGGUUCUGAUUUUCUCUCAGACUGCUUGUCCGAUUCUGAGGGGGAGG